ACGGAACUGGUAAGAACAGAGUAGUAGCUUCAGACUGGGCAGAGGUGUCUGACAGGGUAGAGUGGGGGCCUGCUUUGCUACAGCCAAAGAAACUAAAAUUCCUGGACAGAAAAAACAAGAGGCAUUAAGCCUUGGUAUUCAAACAUCUUCUAAAAUCUACAGGUAUCUAAUUAAUACCCGAUUUAGCUGUGUAUCCCGCAUGGCUUCACAAGAGUCACUGAAGCCUGAAGGACCAUUGGAUAACCCACGACUCAGAGAUGCUGUUUAGGCACCUGGGCAUUUGUGAACUCUGCUACCAAGACUGCAGCAGUGGUCAUGCCACUUUCUGCCAAGGUGAUGGAGCCAAAGAACAGAGUUUUGGGGCUGGGGAGUACCUAUGUCUACUUGACCUAACGGCACAUGGAAGGAGGAUGGGGCCAGGUGGGAACGUGAAUAGAUUCUGCCAACAGAAAUAAGAUGAGAGCUGGAUUAUUACAACAUGGUCUGAUUAGGUUUGACAACUUCAGCCUCUGGGAGCUUCCUUGACGCCCUCCUGCCUCCAAGUCUGAGCUCCUCUGGACCUUCCUUGCCUCUCUUUCCUGGCUGCUAAUCAACAACAUUAAAACAGGCAGCAGAGUGCAGCAGGACGGGUUUGACCCCUAAAAGUCACUGGAAUCUAAUUUGGAACAGCGGCAUAAAAAAGGACUUAUUAAAUCAUAUUGAACAGAAGAUGGCUCUGAUAUGAUUUGCUGCCCCAAUCUCUCACCAAAGGAAGAAGGAAAUCAGAGGACUUAACUGGACUUCCCUAGUGGCGCAGUGGUUAAGAAUCUGCCUGCCAAUGCAGGGGACACGGGUUCAAGCCCUGGUCCGGGAAGAUCCCACAUGCCGCGGGGCAACUAAGCCCGUCCGCCACAACUACUGAGCCUGCGCUCUAG